UACGGGAGGCAGCAGUGGGGAAUAUUGCACAAUGGGCGAAAGCCUGAUGCAGCUAUGCCGCGUGUAUGAAGAAGGCCUUAGGGUUGUAAAGUACUUUCAUCGGGGAGGAAAAAACAAAACUAAUAAUUUUAUUUCUUGACGUUACCCGAAAAAGAAGCACCGGCUAACUCCGUGCCAGCAGCCGCGGUAAUACGGAGGGUGCUAGCGUUAAUCAGAAUUACUGGGCGUAAAGAGCACGUAGGUGGUUUUUUUAAGUCAGAUGUGAAAUCCCCUGGGCUUAAACCUAGGAACUGCAUUUUGAAACUGAAAUAACUAGAGUAUCGUAGAGGGAGGUAGAAUUCUAGGUGUAGCGGUGAAAUGCGUAGAUAUCUGGAGGAAUACCUGUGGCGAAAGCGGCCUCCUAAACGAAUACUGACACUGAGGUGCGAAAGCGUGGGGAGCAAACAGGGAUUAGAUACC
rnacentral:rRNA from 1 species